rnacentral:rRNA from 1 species
AGAGUUUGAUCCUGGCUCAGGACGAACGCUGGCGGCGUGCUUAACACAUGCAAGUCGAACGAAGAGCGAUGGAAGCUUGCUUCUAUCAAUCUUAGUGGCGAACGGGUGAGUAACGCGUAAUCAACCUGCCCUUCAGAGGGGGACAACAGUUGGAAACGACUGCUAAUACCGCAUACGAUCCAACCUCGGCAUCGAGGAUGGAUGAAAGGUGGCCUCUAUUUAUAAGCUAUCACUGAAGGAGGGGGGGAUUGCGUCUGAUUAGCUAGUUGGAGGGGGGUAACGGCCCACCAAGGCAAUGAUCAGUAGCCGGUCUGAGAGGAUGAACGGCCACAUUGGGACUGAGACACGGCCCAGACUCCUACGGGAGGCAGCAGUGGGGGGGAAUCUUCCGCAAUGGACGAAAGUCUGACGGAGCAACGCCGCGUGAGUGAUGACGGCCUUCGGGUUGUAAAGCUCUGUUAAUCGGGACGAAAGGUCCUCUUGCGAAUAGUUAGAGGAAUUGACGGUACCGGAAUAGAAAGCCACGGCUAACUACGUGCCAGCAGCCGCGGUAAUACGUAGGUGGCAAGCGUUGUCCGGAAUUAUUGGGCGUAAAGCGCGCGCAGGCGGAUCAGUCAGUCUGUCUUAAAAGUUCGGGGGGCUUAACCCCGUGAUGGGAUGGAAACUGCUGAUCUAGAGUAUCGGAGAGGAAAGUGGAAUUCCUAGUGUAGCGGUGAAAUGCGUAGAUAUUAGGAAGAACACCAGUGGCGAAGGCGACUUUCUGGACGAAAACUGACGCUGAGGCGCGAAAGCCAGGGGAGCGAACGGGAUUAGAUACCCCCCCGGUAGUCCUGGCCGUAAACGAUGGGUACUAGGUGUAGGAGGUAUCGACCCCCUUCUGUGCCGGAGUUAACGCAAUAAGUACCCCCCGCCUGGGGGAGUACGACCGCAAGGUUGAAACUCAAAGGAAUUGACGGGGGGCCCGCACAAGCGGUGGAGUAUGUGGUUUAAUUCGACGCAACGCGAAGAACCUUACCAGGUCUUGACAUUGAUGGACAGAACUAGAGAUAGUUCCUCUUCUUCGGAAGCCAGAAAACAGGUGGUGCACGGUUGUCGUCAGCUCGUGUCGUGAGAUGUUGGGUUAAGUCCCGCAACGAGCGCAACCCCCUAUCUUAUGUUGCCAGCACGUAAUGGUGGGAACUCAUGAGAGACUGCCGCAGACAAUGCGGAGGAAGGCGGGGGGGAUGACGUCAAAUCAUCAUGCCCCCUUAUGACCUGGGCUACACACGUACUACAAUGGGAGUUAAUAGACGGAAGCGAGAUCGCGAGAUGGAGCAAACCCGAGAAACACUCUCUCAGUUCGGAUCGUAGGCUGCAACUCGCCUACGUGAAGUCGGAAUCGCUAGUAAUCGCAGGUCAGCAUACUGCGGUGAAUACGUUCCCGGGCCUUGUACACACCGCCCGUCACACCACGAAAGUCGGAAGUGCCCAAAGCCGGUGGGGGGGUAACCUUCGGGAGCCAGCCGUCUAAGGUAAAGUCGAUGAUUGGGGGGUGAAGUCGUAACAAGGUAGCCGUAUCGGAAGGUGCGGCUG